rnacentral:lncRNA from 1 species
CACACACACACAAAAAAACCCACGCACACAGAUACACUCACACAAGCAACAGAAAGACCCAAAUAAUACAAAGUAUGUCUUGAAUAACAGACGAACCGAUAAUCGCUCUCACACAAAGUCCGUUGGGUGAAAUAAAAUGGGGAGUGGAGGAAAAAGAACAAAAUAUUCUUUUUUGCUUUAUUAUUUUUGAUUCUGUUUUUUUCUAAACCAAGAAAACAACAACAGCCCUGAUCCCUUCUUAUUACAAAAGCUAAGCAAUCAAUUUGCUAUGUCCUACUUUUUUUUCCGCUGGUUUUCCAAACGCAAUUCGCAACUCAACAAUGCCGGUCAAUAUCGUUUUAUAUGAAAAAAUACGCAGUCAUCGAAGUUUCAGAUACUUUUGCUUUUGCAAUAGAUAUGCCUUCAAAUCUUAGAUAAGAGUAGAGGACAAAAAACAAUUCUAUGGUACAAUCAUCCUGACCCUACUAUUUUAAAGAUGAAUCUAGCCACCCCAGUCCAACGUAACUACCGCCCCUGCUACCUUGCCGAUGCAAAUGUGAAGAUUGCAGGUUAGGGGAAGGAAACACGUUAGAAAAGCUUAUCGUUUUUCCGGGAGCAAAACGAGGAAAAGAGGAAGAAGAGGAAAAACAGGGUAAAGGACGUCGGCAGGGCAGCGGGAGUAGGGCAGCAAAAAGAGAAAGGAGAAAAGAGAAAAGAAAGAGAGAGAGAGAGAAAAAAAAAAAAGGCAAGAGAAGAGAUGAGUAAAGUGGAUAGAAGUAUAGUAGAAGAAGAAAAAGAAAAAGAGGUAAAUGGUAAUUUUAGAGUUAAAUUGUAAAUGUUUUGAUUAUUAAUUCUUUCAUUAUAUAUUCUUUUGUUAUUUAUUUUCUCUUUACUCUUUUACUCGUUCCUCGUUAAAUUUCUCAAAAUGUUUUCUCUCUUCCGCUAAAAAAAUUUUCUUCUUCUUCUCGGUUGGCCAUUUUCUUUUUUCUUUUUCUUCUUUUUGCCUCCAAUCUCUCUUUGCUGAAAUCAUUUGAUUUUCUGGGUCAAAUACAUUUCCAUUUAUUGGUUCAUUUACUACGAUUAUCAGUCUCUCUUCCAUUUUGUUUAACAAGCUUAUACCUCAAUUUACGAACCAACCCAAUUUCACUGCAGUAACAAAAUAAUAAUAUCACACAUUUAUUACAUCCCAGCAAUGCGUAAAAUCCGGUACUAUGGAGUAUAUUUUUAAUACAAGUAUAUCGGGCAAGUCAAGAAGCAAAAACAAAGACAAAGAACAAGACACUAUCUAAUCAUUACUGAUAAGAAUGAGAUUUUUUUUAUGUCGUUACACACACCGUUUUCGUAUUCCACUGCAUUGCUUUUGCUUGGUGCUUUACAUCCUCGUUUCCCUGUGCGGUUGCAUUCCACGUGCUAGAGAUUAGCGAGUGGAAAGUGACAAGCACACUAGUCCGUAAAUUCGUAUCAUGGAGAAAGAUGGAAAAGACAAGGCCCAUUCCAUUCUUUUUGAGUCUAUAUACAGGAUGAUGGCUCUAGCUAUCAAAUGAAUGAGUAAGAUUUGUAAGAUGGAGAUAGGUGUAGGAAGGAUUGGGUUGGUGAUGAAGGGAUGCGUAAAUUGUAGACGUAAAGAUGUAGGAUGAAAAAUAAAAUGGGAUGAGAAAAGGCUAAGGUCGACACUAUGUUUGUCAUGGGUUGAAUAGGUCAAUGAGUUGAAUAGUCAAUGGACGAUUGACUAUGCACAAAAGCACCAUUGAUUGUUUGAAUUGAUUUAUCACAAAGAUGAUUGAUUCAUCAUGUCUUUGAUUUUAUUUUACAUUUCAAAAUUGUGUGGUGCUAUAACACACCUCUCUUUUCCUCCUCUAUCGCAUUACUCAGUUCUUCUCUCUCUUCCUCGUCUCUCAUCGCUAUUUCCUUUCAGCUGCUCUCUCUCUUUUUCUCUCGCUAUCCCAUUUGCGACACCCUCGGCUUCGUUGUCAUGAGGGAAUUCCUCGGACACCCGGUCCACGACCGGCAAAGACUUCGGCAGAAACACGGUAUUCCCGAAACACUUCCUCCGCAUUUUUCUUUCCCCCCUCACCCCCACAUAGGAACUUUUUCAAAGUUGUAGUCAGUUCCUUUUAGCUAGUAGCAAAGUGGUUCAUGUUUGCAGUCGACUGGGGGACAUGGGUCUAUGUGGGGGAUGUACAUUUACCAAGAUGGCUGGCAUCUACGGGAAAAGGUAAGCCAGCCAGGCAAAGAAAACAAUACUGAGAAAUCGAAUAAAGGGUGAAUCUGAAAAGCACAUACAAACAUACGCAACCCUUAAGGUUUCCUUGUUUGUCCUUUUUUUUUUUUUUUUUAAGAUUCUAUUUUCUGUUCUCGUUAUUUAAUCUAUUUAUUCAAUUUAUUCAUUCAUUUUUUUGUUCCAUUUAUUUAUUAUUCAUUCAUUCAUUCAUCUUUUUUUUUAAUUUCCUUUACAUUUUCUAUGCGAUCCUUGCUUUACGACUUCUUGUGCUCCCUUUUUGACAUGUAAACAAUGUGAUUGGAAAAAUCAUCCAGCUCCGGUAAAAGUGGAUCGCAUCCGUUUUCCUCUUCACAACUUGAAAUCGUGUUCAAUAAGUUCUAGAUGUGACCUAAGGAAAGAAAAGCUUUAAAGUAUACAAUUGACCGAUGCACGAAUCGCUUCAACAAUUUUUAAACGUGUGUAGAUCGACUUUCCUUCUUAAACUAUCAUCUUAUAUGUACUUACUCAAAAAGUAAUUCAUAACUAAAAACAAAAAUUCUACUGCCGACAAUGCAACAAGAUGGAUUUGUUGAGAAUUAAAUUAGCAUACAUUUCCUCCUUACAUACUUCCUUAGCCAUGUCUGUGAAAAAGUAGAAUAUGUAUAAAAAUGAUCUGCAAAUAUGCAACUACAAAUGAACAUGUUAUACAAGGGGAAGCCAAGUCAGGCCUUGUUGCAUGGUAUAGCUAGCUUACCUGCCAAUGUUUCUGCAACUCAAAAGAAACUAUUUGGUAAUUACCAUCUAUCGUUUAUUUUUUUCUCCACAUCAAAUUAGUCAUCCCGCAUCUAAAAUCCGUUUUAAUAUUUUAUUGCACAAGUCAUGUGAUUAAGGUGUCCUUUUGAACAUGUUUGAUACGUUCGUUCAAAUGAUUCAAUUAGCUAUCUUUGUUUUUUAUAAUAUGGUCCG